GUUAGCUUUGUUUGGGAUUCAGCCCAUGUGUUUGUGCUCCCUCUCAUAUAUGGCAUCUAAAGUCCUUUUGUGGAGAACUCUUUGAGUUUCAGCUCUACUAAAGGACUUUUUGUUAUACAUGGAAAAAAAAGAUAAACCUCGUUGUUUUGAGUGAAGUUUGUUGGUAGCAACUAUAUUCUGAAGGAAUCCUUGUGUCUUCAUUUAUGGUCUUCACCAGUGGAUUAAUUCUGUUUUCUGUCAACAUUGGAACUGAGUGUUGCUUUUAUUGCUGUGGCCUCUUGGCAGCGUUGAGGACAGCGGGCCUAUGGACAGAAUUCCAGUUUACCUUGUCUUCCAAUGAGGAAUUGGGGAUUUAAUAAUUGUAUCAAAUUCAAGUAUUGCUCUGGACUUUGAACUUUAACAUUGUCAUCUAAACUUAAAUGUAAUGAAGACUCAUGAUGUUGUUUCUAUGUAUAUAUUGUUUUCUUUGAAUAUGUUUGGGAGCAUAUGUGGGAUAAAUAAAAUAAGGAGAUCAUUGA